AGCAGCCGCGGUAAUUCCAGCUCCAAUAGCGUAUAUUAAAGUUGUUGCAGUUAAAAGCUCGUAGUUGAAUUUCGGGAUCAGUAUGUUGGUCGUGCUUCGGUACGUACUGUCAUUACUGGUUUCUACCUUCUGAAGAACCUUGAUGUCAUUAAUUUGGUGUCUUGGGGAAUCAGGACUGUUACUUUGAAAAAUUAGAGUGUUUAAAGCAAGCAUACGCUUGAAUACAUUAGCAUGGAAUAAUGAAAUAGGACGUUUGAUUCUAUUUUGUUGGUUUCUAGGAUCGACGUAAUGAUUAAUAGGGAUAGUUGGGGGCAUUAGUAUUCAAUUGUCAGAGGUGAAAUUCUUGGAUUUAUUGAAGACUAACUACUGCGAAAGCAUUUGCCAAGGAUGUUUUCAUUAAUCAAGAACGAAAGUUAGGGAUCGAAGACGAUCAGAUACCGUCGUAGUCUU
rnacentral:rRNA from 1 species